rnacentral:lncRNA from 1 species
UUUCAUCUUAUCCACUCUCUCUUAUUUACUCCUCUUGAAUUAUUAGCUUGAUUAAUUAAUUGUCAUGCAACUUUCUUAGCCUACCCUUAACCUGAUCCCUCGGUGAAAAGAGCCUAUUACUAAUUACUGGCUUGCUAUCCCUAGCCUCCCCUAGCAAUUAAUAAAGCAUUAAAGAACAAAAGUCAAAAAUAAUUUAUCGUCCUAUCCUUAUCCCUAGGUGGUAUUGCUUAAUCAAGGAAUUACUCACCAGUUCAUGACAUUAUUGUACGUCCCCGUAUCAAUAAAGAGAAACAUCAGUUAUCGAAUGAGUUAAACGAUAAAAGCAUUAAGCACAGAUGAGAACCCAACAAUUAACAAUCAAAGCAUAUGGAAACCAUAUAAAUAAACAAGAGUUUCAAUAAAAGAGAGUAUCAAAAGAUUACAUUGUUUCCCCCAACAACAAUAGGGUUUAGUUCACCAUUGACAUGAUGAAUCUAGAUGAAAAAUGGAUGAAGAAUGGAAAAGCAAACCCUAGAAAAGAUGAAAAGGAGCCUAAGCAUCCAAGAGAUCCUCUCCAUAGAGUGAAAUUAGGUCUGGCUGCCCCCUUCUUUCAAAAGAAUGCAUCUAAACUCGCAAUAGGGCUAUUUAUAAGUUAGGAGCGCAACAGAAAACAGGCCCAAGCCCAGCAGACAACCGCCCGGCGGAACAAGUGUGGUGCCCAACGGUUUCCCACAAAUUGCACUACCGCCCGACAGUUUACCUCAAAUCGCAAAUCUGCCCAGCGCCAACGCCAGGUGCCUAUUCCUCGCCCUAGACCGCCCGACGGUGGAAUUUACUGCCGGGCGGUGCGUCGAAUCUUCAAUUCUUCAAUUUUC